rnacentral:rRNA from 1 species
CCUACGGGAGGCAGCAGUGAGGAAUAUUGGUCAAUGGGCGUAAGCCUGAACCAGCCAAGUCGCGUGAGGGAUGAAGGUGCUAUGGAUUGUAAACCUCUUUUAUAAGGGGAUAAAGUGCGGGACGUGACCCGUAUUGUAUGUACCUUAUGAAUAAGGAUCGGCUAACUCCGUGCCAGCAGCCGCGGUAAUACGGAGGAUGCGAGCGUUAUCCGGAUUUAUUGGGUUUAAAGGGUGCGUAGGCGGCUUGUUAAGUCAGCGGUGAAAGUUUGCGGCUCAACCAUAGAAUUGCCGUUGAAACUGGGAGUCUUGAGUAUAGUUGAGGCAGGCGGAAUGCGUGGUGUAGCGGUGAAAUGCUUAGAUAUCACGAAGAACCCCGAUUGCGAAGGCAGCCUGCUAAGCCACGACUGACGCUGAUGCACGAAAGCGUGGGGAUCAAACAGGAUUAGAUACCCGGGUAGUC